rnacentral:rRNA from 1 species
AGAACGAACGCUGGCGGCAGGCCUCAAACAUGCAAGUCUAGGGGGGUGUAGCAAUACAUCACCGGCGGACGGGUGCGUAACGCGUGGGAAUAUACCUAUUGGUUCGGAACAACUGAGGGAAACUUCAGCUAAUACCGGAUACGUCCUAACGGAGAAAGAUUUAUCGCCAAUAGAUUAGCCCGCGUUCGAUUAGCUAGUUGGUGGGGUAACGGCCCACCAAGGCGACGAUCGAUAGCUGUUCUGAGAGGAAGAUCAGCCACACUGGGACUGAGACACGGCCCAGACUCCUACGGGAGGCAGCAGUUGGGAAUCUUGGACAAUGGGGGAAACCCUGAUCCAGCCAUGCCGCGUGAGUGAUGAAGGCCUUCGGGUUGUAAACUCUUUCGCGCACGACGAUAAUGACGGUAGUGCGAGAAGAAGCUCCGGCUAACUUCGCGCCAGCAGCCGC